rnacentral:rRNA from 1 species
GACAGAGGGUGCGAACGUUGUUCGGAAUUACUGGGCUUGAAGCGCACGUAGGCGGCGUUGUAAGUGUCGGGUGAAAUCCCACGGCUCACCCGUGGAACUGCCCGGCAUACUGCGAUGCUAGAGUGUGGUAGGGGAGAGCGGAACUCCUGGUGGAGCGGUGAAAUGCGUAGAUAUCAGGAGGAACACCGGUGGCGAAGGCGGCUCUCUGGUCCACAACUGACGCUGAGGUGCGAAAGCUAGGGGAGCAAACGGG